rnacentral:rRNA from 1 species
CCUACGGGUGGCAGCAGUGAGGAAUAUUGGUCAAUGGACGAGAGUCUGAACCAGCCAAGUAGCGUGAAGGAUGACUGCCCUAUGGGUUGUAAACUUCUUUUAUAUGGGAAUAAAAUGCUCCACGUGUGGGAUUUUGUAUGUACCAUAUGAAUAAGGAUCGGCUAACUCCGUGCCAGCAGCCGCGGUAAUAAGGAGGAUCCGAGCGUUAUCCGGAUUUAUUGGGUUUAAAGGGAGCGUAGGUGGGUUGUUAAGUCAGUUGUGAAAGUUUGCGGCUCAACCGUAAAAUUGCAGUUGAAACUGGCAGUCUUGAGUACAGUAGAGGUGGGCGGAAUUCGUGGUGUAGCGGUGAAAUGCUUAGAUAUCACGAAGAACUCCGAUUGCGAAGGCAGUUCACUGGACUGCAACUGACACUGAGGCUCGAAAGUGUGGGUAUCAAACAGGAUUAGAUACCCUUGUAGUC